rnacentral:lncRNA from 1 species
GGGACAUCCUAAAGUAAGUUUAGGGUAUACGUUCUAUAAUCCUACUUAGCAAAAGGUGUUUGUUGCGAAACACGCUACCUUUUAAGAUAAAGAUGUUUAUCAUUGAAGGAGCUAGUGGGAGGAUAAUAGAUCUUGAAGAGUUUAAGAACCAUAAAUCACUAUAAGUCAAAUAAGAGGAACCUGUAGAUAGACCUAUUGUACCACAACCGAAUCGUAAAU